ACACACACACACACACACACACACACACACACAGCAACUACAGCACACAGGUAGAGGGACACACACACACACACAGCAACUACAGCACACAGGUAGAGGGACACACACACACACACAGCAACUACAGCACACAGGUAGACUAGACACGCACACACAGCAACUACAGCACACAGGUAGAGGGACACACACACACAGCAACUACAGCACACAGGUAGAGGGACACACACACACACAGCAACUACAGCACACAGGUAGAGGGACACACACACACAGCAACUACAGCACACAGGUAGAGGGACACACACACACACAGCAACUACAGCACACAGGUAGAGGGGGACACACACACACAGCAACUACAGCACACAGGUAGAGGGACACACACACACAGCAACUACAGCACACAGGUAGAGGGACACACACACACAGCAACUACAGCACACAGGUAGAGGGACACACACACACACAGCAACUACAGCACACAGGUAGAGGGACACACACACACACAGCAACUACAGCACACAGGUAGAGGGACACACACACACACAGCAACUACAGCACACAGGUAGAGGGACACACACACACAGCAACUACAGCACACAGGUAGAGGGACACACACACACACAGCAACUACAGCACACAGGUAGAGGGACACACACACACACAGCAACUACAGCACACAGGUAGAGGGACACACACACACACAGCAACUACAGCACACAGGUAGAGGGACACACACACACACAGCAACUACAGCACACAGGUAGAGGGACACACACACACAGCAACUACAGCACACAGGUAGAGGGACACACACACACAGCAACUACAGCACACAGGUAGAGGGACACACACACACAGGUAGAGGGACACACACACACAGGUAGAGGGACACACACACACACACACACACACACACACAGCAACUACAGCACACAGGUAGAGGGACACACACACACAGCAACUACAGCACACAGGUAGAGGGACACACACACACAGCAACUACAGCACACAGGUAGAGGGACACACACACACAGCAACUACAGCACACAGGUAGAGGGACACACACACACAGCAACUACAGCACACAGGUAGAGGGACACACACACACAGCAACUACAGCACACAGGUAGAGGGACACACACACACACAGCAACUACAGCACACAGGUAGAGGGACACACACACACACACACACACAGCAACUACAGCACACAGGUAGAGGGACACACACACACACAGCAACUGCAGCACACAGGUAGAGGGACACACACACACACACAGCAACUACAGCACACAGGUAGAGGGACACACACACACACAGCAACUACAGCACACAGGUAGAGGGACACACACACACACAGCAACUACAGCACACAGGUAGAGGGACACACACACACAGCAACUACAGCACACAGGUAGAGGGACACACACACACACAGCAACUACAGCACACAGGUAGAGGGACACACACACACAGCAACUACAGCACACAGGUAGAGGGACACACACACACAGCAACUACAGCACACAGGUAGAGGGACACACACACACACAGCAACUACAGCACACAGGUAGAGGGACACACACACACAGCAACUACAGCACACAGGUAGAGGGACACACACACACAGCAACUACAGCACACAGGUAGAGGGACACACACACACAGCAACUACAGCACACAGGUAGAGGGACACACACACACAGCAACUACAGCACACAGGUAGAGGGACACACACACACAGCAACUACAGCACACAGGUAGAGGGACACACACACACAGCAACUACAGCACACAGGUAGAGGGACACACACACACACAGCAACUACAGCACACAGGUAGAGGGACACACACACACACAGCAACUACAGCACACAGGUAGAGGGACACACACACACACAGCAACUACAGCACACAGGUAGAGGGACACACACACACACAGCAACUACAGCACACAGGUAGAGGGACACACACACACACAGCAACUACAGCACACAGGUAGAGGGACACACACACACACAGCAACUACAGCACACAGGUAGAGGGACACACACACACACAGCAACUACAGCACACAGGUAGAGGGACACACACACACACAGCAACUACAGCACACAGGUAGAGGGACACACACACACACACAGCAACUACAGCACACAGGUAGAGGGACACACACACACACACAGCAACUACAGCACACAGGUAGAGGGACACACACACACACAGCAACUACAGCACACAGGUAGAGGGACACACACACACACAGCAACUACAGCACACAGGUAGAGGGACACACACACACACAGCAACUACAGCACACAGGUAGAGGGACACACACA